rnacentral:lncRNA from 1 species
CGCGACAGGGCCGCUACAUCGUCCGGCUGAAGUAUCGCCCAGAGAACCUCGAGUACACAGCACAUGGCUCCUUCACAAAAACGCAAAGAGAGUGAACAUCUGUAUGCCGGCAGCUACGUGCCCAACGAAAGCAGGAGCCGGAAAGGUAUCAACGCCGUUCUCCUUGGACCACCGGGAUCUGGCAAGGGCACGCAGGCGCCGAAGCUGAAA